CAAAAUAUAGUUUAAUAAAAAUAUUAAUUUUGGAGAUUAAAGAUAUAAGAAGUUAAUUUAUUAUUUUGA
rnacentral:tRNA from 1 species